UGGAUCCAGACUUUGAUUAUGGCUCAGGAUGAACGCUGGCGGCGUGCCUAACACAUGCAAGUCGAACGAAGCUUGACGGAUGAUUUCUUCGGAAUGAAACCUGAUAUGACUUAGUGGCGGACGGGUGAGUAACACGUGAGCAACCUGCCUUUCAGAGGGGGAUAACGGCUGGAAACGGUCGCUAAUACCGCAUGACGUGUUCGGAUGGCAUCAUCUGAACAUCAAAGAUUUAUCGCUGAAAGAUGGGCUCGCGUCUGAUUAGAUAGUUGGUGGGGUAACGGCCUACCAAGUCUACGAUCAGUAGCCGGACUGAGAGGUUGAACGGCCACAUUGGGACUGAGAUACGGCCCAGACUCCUACGGGAGGCAGCAGUGGGGAAUAUUGCACAAUGGGGGAAACCCUGAUGCAGCAACGCCGCGUGAAGGAUGACGGUUUUCGGAUUGUAAACUUCUUUUCUUAGUGACGAAGACAGUGACGGUAGCUAAGGAAUAAGCAUCGGCUAACUACGUGCCAGCAGCCGCGGUAAUACGUAGGAUGCAAGCGUUAUCCGGAUUUACUGGGUGUAAAGGGAGCGCAGGCGGGACUGCAAGUUGGAUGUGAAAUACCGUGGCUUAACCACGGAACUGCAUCCAAAACUGUAGUUCUUGAGUGAAGUAGAGGCAAGCGGAAUUCCGAGUGUAGCGGUGAAAUGCGUAGAUAUUCGGAGGAACACCAGUGGCGAAGGCGGCUUGCUGGGCUUUAACUGACGCUGAGGCUCGAAAGUGUGGGGAGCAAACAGGAUUAGAUACCCUGGUAGUCCACACUGUAAACGAUGAUAGCUAGGUGUGGGGGGUCUGACCCCUUCCGUGCCGGAGUUAACGCAAUAAGCUAUCCACCUGGGGAGUACGACCGCAAGGUUGCAACUCAAAGGAAUUGACGGA
rnacentral:rRNA from 1 species